GUAAAGCAUGUAAACCUGCUGAAUUUAAGCAUAUAAGUAAGCGGUGGAAAAUGAACCAAAUGGGAUUCCUUAAGUAAUUGCGAAUGAAAAAGGAUAUGCUCAGCUUGAAAAUUGAAGCUUCUGGUUUUGAAUUGUAGUUUUGAAAUGUAUUGCCGAUGGAGGUGCAGGUGUAAGCCUGUUGGAAAACAGUGUCAGUGAGGGUGAGGUGCCUUUUUGUCAUUUGCAGUCCUUCAAGCACGGUAUAUAUUUGCCGAGUCACACUCCUUGGCAUUGGAAUGCAAAGUGGGUGGUCAAUUCCAUGAAAAGGGAAAUACAUUUNGAGACGAUAGC
rnacentral:rRNA from 1 species